UACGAAGGGGUCUAGCGUUGCUCGGAAUCACUGGGCGUAAAGGGCGCGUAGGCGGCUUAUCAAGUCGGGGGUGAAAGCCCGUGGCUCAACCACGGAAUGGCCUUCGAUACUGGUAGGCUUGAGACCGGAAGAGGACAGCGGAACUGCGAGUGUAGAGGUGAAAUUCGUAGAUAUUCGCAAGAACACCAGUGGCGAAGGCGGCUGUCUGGUCCGGUUCUGACGCUGAGGCGCGAAAGCGUGGGGAGCAAACAGG
rnacentral:rRNA from 1 species